rnacentral:rRNA from 1 species
GGGCCCGCACAAGCGGUGGAGUAUGUGGUUUAAUUCGAUGCAACGCGAAGAACCUUACCAACACUUGACAUGUUCGUCGCGACUUUAAGAGAUUAAAGUUUUCGGUUCGGCCGGACGAAACACAGGUGCUGCAUGGCUGUCGUCAGCUCGUGUCGUGAGAUGUUGGGUUAAGUCCCGCAACGAGCGCAACCCUCACUUUUAGUUGCCAUCAUUUAGUUGGGCACUCUGAAAGAACUGCCAGUGAUAAGCUGGAGGAAGGUGGGGAUGACGUCAAGUCCUCAUGGCCCUUACGUGUUGGGCUACACACGUGCUACAAUGGUAUCUACAACAGGAAGCAAGACGGCGACGUUAAGCAAAUCCUUAAAAGAUACCUCAGUUCGGAUUGCACUCUGCAACUCGAGUGCAUGAAGCUGGAAUUACUAGUAAUCG